CUUUGCUCUGGGGAAACCAGCUGCCACAUCACCAUCAGCCUUAUGACCAUGGCACAUGGUAAGGAGCUGAAAUCUCAGCAGCUACACGUGUGAGCUCAGCAGCGGAUCCUUUAGGACCCGUCAUGCAAUCCUGGAUUGCAGCCCUGGACAUCCACUUAACUAGCAAGACUGAGCCAGAACCACCCAGAUGAGCUGCUCCUGGAUUCCCAACUCUCAAAAACUGUGAGAGAUGUUCAACGGUGGUUGUUUGAAACUGCUGAGUCUCAGUAUAAUUUGUUAUACAGCACUAGCUAACUCAUACACGUCACGUUUCUGCAGCAGAAUACCUUGGACCUGGGGAGAGCUGGAGAUAAUUACUCAGUACCACCCAGUACAUGGGAAAGUGAUUACUGACAGGCUCAGAAAUGUUAAGAAGAUGCUUAAAAGAAAUGGGCUCAUGAGCCUUCUUUGCUGAAGUAUUAAUUACUAGAUCUGAAUGUUUUGCUUUUCUGUGAUGGAAAAGAUUGCAGGAGCUCCUCAGACAAGAUCUGUGGCAACAGUAACAAUAAAAGCAUCCCAUGCGGACCAAACUCCUG
rnacentral:lncRNA from 1 species